AUACGGAGGGUGCAAGCGUUAAUCGGAAUUACUGGGCGUAAAGCGUACGUAGGCGGUUUAUUAAGUCAGAUGUGAAAGCCCCGGGCUUAACCUGGGAACUGCAUUUGAAACUAGUAGACUAGAGUAUGAUAGAGGGGGGUAGAAUUCCUAGUGUAGCGGUGAAAUGCGUAGAUAUUAGGAGGAAUACCAGUGGCGAAGGCGGCCCCCUGGACCAAUACUGACGCUGAGGUACGAAAGCGUGGGGAGCGAACAGAAUUAGAAACCCCGGUAGUCC
rnacentral:rRNA from 1 species